rnacentral:lncRNA from 1 species
GACUCAACUGGUGUGGGCCAUCUCCAAGGAGACAGCCAGGCUUAGUCCUGAGGGCAUCCCCUACUGUGCCACCAAAGUGCAGUCCAUCACUUGGAUCCAGCGUGUGGCUGGCAGGGUGACCCACUAUGCGUCUCACCUCCGCCAAGAGACGUCUGUGGACGUGACGCUUGGCUGCUACCAGGUAAAUAAACGAUUUCCUAUGUAUAUAGACUAGACAUUACUGGGCAUUUUUGCAUUCGAUUUGGUGAGUUUUCUAAUAAUGUGUGUGUGUGGUAAACCGGUGUGCUGUGUGUGUUUUGAGCAGCAGACUGAUGUCUCAGUGGUGUACGCCACUCUCCACAUGGGGCUGGACGGGCUUCUCUCCUCUUCAGCGUGGUCGGAGGCUGCCUCCUUCUCUACUCCCACCACUCAGCAGUUCACUGACCCAGAGCCUGAGGGCCACAACUGCUAUGAGGGCUGGGAGGAGGACCUGCUGCCUGAGGAGAGGGAGGUUCCUCUGCUAAACCUCUACCUUACCACCAAGAGAGUGGAGGACAUCGUCCUGAGGCUCGUCUCCUUGCGCCAGGCCUUCACUGACGAGGCCAAAUUCAUCCGUACCUAUAACGACUUUGUGGACUACCUGAGUGACCCCUCCAAGCGGAAUGACAUUGAGAGGGAGCUGGCUGAGGCAAAGAUCCUUGUCCUAGAUCCUAGAUUCUUGUCCUAGAUCCUAGAACAGCUGGUGCUGUUUGGGAUGAUGACAGCUCAGAAGUCCCUGAUGGUGGUAAGUAGCAUCUCACUGGAACAUGUUUUGAUAUCUCUCUAUUAGCAGUUUCACUUAAAUUCCUCAUCUCUUCUAUUCUCUUUUCUCCUCCUUUGUUUCUUUUAGCACCCUGGUGGGUUCGUGGAGCGUCUGUGUUCUCUCCUGUACUCCUUCCUGCCCACUGCUGCCAACAUGGAGCCAGAGGCUGAUAGAAUCCUACUGCUGCUCAAUGUAAGAGUCAAGAGGUUACUUCCUGUUUACUUCCAUAUUCUUAGUGUACUUCCUUUUGACUUCCUUAUUCAUGGUUAACCAGGUUUCAGUAUUUCUAAUUGUCUCUCUCCUCUUGAUAAGCUAGUAACUCAGAGCCAUUUUCUAUGUGUUGUGUGGUGUUCUCUUCAGGGCGGACUGAUGGCUCUGCUAGAUGACAUGUUUGGCCAGCAGCUGGCCUGGUAUUUUAACUCCGAGUCUCUGGUCACUGAGCUCUCCAGCCUCCUGGAGUACCACUUGGAGAACCUCAUGGCCAGCAUGUAGUCCUACUGCAGGGACCAUACUCCUUUCUCCUUCUCUCUCUCUUUUGAAGGAAUUGAGGACUUGAAGUGCUUUGUUGAACCCUGAUUAGUUAACACCCAUUAAUUUAAUGUAUUCUCUUGUUUUCUCUCCCCACAGGAUUAUUGUGACACUUUGCCACCCAACAGGGAUCUAGACACCAAUGCACUACAUUACUUUGCACUGAAUUUGACAUUUUUAAAAUAAAAUAAGUUGUAGUUCAAAAUCAUUUUUG